CAGUAGCCGCGGUAAUACGUAGGUCCCGAGCGUUGUCCGGAUUUAUUGGGCGUAAAGCGAGCGCGGGCGGUUAGAUAAGUCUGAGGUUAAAGGCUGUGGCUUAACCAUAGUACGCUUUGGAAACCGUUUAACUUGAGUGCAAGAGGGGAGAGUGGAAUUCCAUGUGUAGCGGUGAAAUGCGUAGAUAUAUGGAGGAACACCGGUGGCGAAAGCGGCUCUCUGGCUUGUAACUGACGCUGAGGCUCGAAAGCGUGGGGAGCAAACAGGAUUAGAUACCCGCGUAGUCCCUGUCUCUUAUACA
rnacentral:rRNA from 1 species